UCCUACGUUUCCAACCGCGUCAGGUUUUAGGUCAGGUGCUCCCCUCUCUAUCGGUAUCAUCUCUCUAUCUCAUGCUUCUUGUUCCGUAUUUUCUCUUAGGGUUCGGAAUUUGGCGUCUAAUUUGGAUGCCGGGCGAUUCGGUAUUGCAUAUUGUGUAGAAACGUAGUGCUUGAUUAUGUCGGCGUGUUGCUCUCUGAAAUUGUUGAAUUCCGUUUCCUAAAGGGUUAUGUUUGGCGGGCGAUGCCGUUAAGGUAGAAGAUAGAUUCGGGUCGAGUAGAUGUUCUUGUUCGCCUCAAUUCGAGUUUUAAUUCAGGUUCUUUUACUAGUGGAAUUCUCUGGUUUCUUUGGAAUUUCUGUUGCUAUACCUAACAAGUGGUGCUUGAUUUGAUCGGUGUGCUGUAUGUGAAGAUUGUUGAAUUACGUUCCCUAAAUUUAUUAGUGUACGGCGAUUCUGUAUCGGUUGAGGAUUUUUUUUCAGGUUUCGUAGAUGUUCUUGUUUGCCCCCAUUCGGAUUCUGGCGGAGGUUUCUUUAUCAAUUGAAUUCUUAAUUCUUCUUUGGACUUCUCUUGCUAUUACCUGACAACUUGUGCUUGGUUUGAUGGAUAUGCUGAUCGGGGGCUAAUUGUUUCAGCGUUCCAGAAAUCGGAUAAUGUUCUUUCAGAUUCUUGAUUUGAGAACGCUGGUUUGUUGGCUCGAGUAAUAUUUUUCUUUCUUCGAUUCCUAGUUAGAGGUGAUUGCUUGAACCAAUUUUCAUGUACUACCAUGAGGCUAUUACUUGAGAUCAUGAAUUCUACAGUUCUCCGGAAGAGAUUUUUAAUGUAGACCCCAACUCUCAGAAUCUUCGUUGGACAAGGUUUAUGUGGUAUUUUUCUUGGAGAUAUUUCGAACCUUUAGUAUUGUUUUUUAUUGGCCUUAACUUGUUGGGCUCCCUCUAGAAUUGUUUUUUAUUCGCCUUAAUUUGUUGGGCUCCCUCUAGGGUUCUUUGCAGUUGAUGAUGCGUCCUGGCGUUUAGGAUUCAAGUACGGUACAAGUACUAUUGUGUUAUGUUUGUGACCCCUUCUUGUUGAUUAUAUUGUCUCAGCCGUGGACAUCGAGUCUCAGCAUGGUCAUUCAUUCAAUUCCUAUUUAAAAUUUUUUCAAGUACAUGUGAAUGUUAGGGCUGGGUAAUGAUUUUCACACUCAUUUGUUUAUAAAUAUAAAAAAAUGCAUUCUAAGAUUGAAAUUGAUGUUUAGACUAACGCACUGUACAAUUUUCAAAUCACACUAAAAGACAAUUUUAUUGUAUUUAUUUACAAGAAUGGAGUGAGGAAAUAAUUUUUGUUUAGUUUAAGGGUUGGGGUUUAUUCUAGUCGCUUGUCAUUAGCUGGAUUGGUAUUAUAUGUUGUGGUCUGAGACCUGUCUUUUUGUUGCAGUCUUAUUUGGGGUGGUUGAAGAUCUUCAACAAGUGGCUGCAUAUGCUUUUGUAGGAGACGUGGGGGUAUUACAUAGUGAACAUUUGCAAUUGCGGUUUUAAAUAAUUUCCGCUUCUAAUAUGUGAGUAAUAUACACGGAUAUACAGGGAUGAAGUUGGGGUUUUCAAUAAUGGUUUGGCUUGUGUGGUUCUGUUCAUUACGAUGAGAAAUUCUUUGGUAAACUAUUUUGGGUGACUGUUGAUCAUCUGUUGUGAACAGGAGGGAGCUGGAUCACACUGGAUGUGUUGGUUUUGGUUCGUUCCACACCGUUUAGUAUUCAUUUUUUUAUUACAGGUUCUGGGAUGAUAGAUAAGUGCGUUGCCAUCAUGUUGCUGGGUAUAUUGCUAUGUUUCUUUCCUUCGUGUUAGCUCUCUUUUCUGCUGCCCUCCAAGUGAUCUGUUUAUGCCACACUAUCUGUCUUUUUUUUACCCAUUCCAUGUUUGUCAUGAGAGUCGCAGGCUCGCAGAGGUAAGCCAUGCAGGUCGUAAUGUUUCUCUCAUCAUGUUCCCUUUCAUAAGAACUUGCUGAUAUUGAGUACACUACUUUCUGUGAAGUACUAUAUUAUAUAUAGUUGUAAUAUAUCGUGGAAAUAUCAUUCAGUCAACCUGGAUUUAUUGUGUUUCUGUCCUCCUACAACCUAAAUUUUGCAGAUCUUUAUUGGCUUAGAGAGGGAGAUACUUCAUCUGUUAUUGGAUCGUCAAUGUUAGGUUUUUAGCACCUUACCUUUUAUUGUUUUCUGGUUAACAGAUUUCAAGCGAGUUGUUAUAAGCAAUAUGAAAGGUCUUGGACUUUCUAGAUGAUGUUUACAAAAAAGAAUAAGGAUGUCCUAACACGUUACAAACUUUUUCUUGAAGAAUUGGAGUUCCUCUAGUAAGUGGGUCAGUGCAACUAAAUUAAGUGGUGAUAAACUACGUGGCAUUGAAAACAUAUACUCCCAUAGUGUAUUAGUCCUAUUGAAGGGUAACCUUGUUUAAUAUGUCCAGAACAGCCAUUUUACAUCUCCAGGAGGUCUCGAACUAAGGCGGGUUGGUAGGUUGAGCCAUUAUAGAGAUGAUACUGUGUUUGUUUUCAAGUGUUUUCUUCUCUUGUUCUACCAGAGAUUUGCUAACCUCUCUAGGUACUUGGAAUUCACGUCAUGGCUCAUUGUUGAAGUAUGAAGCUAGGGCGUUUUUAGAUUUUGCCUUGUGUCCUUUCUUUGGAUUACUAAUGCUGGCACUUCAUCCUUUUUUUGUGUGUGUGUGUUUCAUGGUUGUGGCUUGUUAUGUAGUGUUGUGUUUUGCAGCAAAUUAUCAGGAAGCCAGUUCAAAAAAAAAAAAAAACAGGAUGCUGAACAGAGGAGGGGUGUAAUAAAUCUUUUCUUGCUAAAUUUACCUUGCUCAGUUGUGCUUGAUUUGGUCGGUGAGCUUAUUGGGGGCAAAUGGUUCGUUUUUGCUACUGUAAACGGUCCGAGUAUUUUGGGUUAGUGCUGGCAUAAGAGUUCGUUUUAAUUGUUGGCCUGAGUAAUAGAUUCCUUUUAUUGGAUUCCUAACUAGAGGUGAUUACUCGAACCAGAUUCCAUUUACUAGAAGAGAUCAUGACUACUAGGUAAUUCUUUAUUCUACAGUAUUCUCGAAUGGGGAGAUUUACAUUCUGAUUGAGGGGAAGUGAAGAAUCUGGAAGGAUUUUGAAUGUAGAUCCUGCUCUCAGAAUUUUUGAUGUAAAAGGUUUAUAUAACGAUUUUCUUCAUGAUUAUUCCAACCAUUACUACAUAUUGUUUGAUGGACUUCCCUGGACCAAUUGGAUUUCUCUAAUGGUGAUUUGCAGUGUGUGAUGCGUCCUGGAUCUGUGAUAUUUUUCGCUGAUGGGUGUUGCCUCUUUUGUUGGCGAUGGUCUUGGUGGUCAUUCAUAUGGUUUUUUCCUGUAAUUUACAUUGGUAUUUUUAGAUUGAGGAUUGGGGAUUAUUCUGUUAAGUUUGUCGGUAGCUGGGUUGAUAUUUUAUGUCAUGCGCUGAGACCUGUCUUUUCCUUGCAGUCCUGGUUGGGGUGGUUCAAGAUAUUCAACAAGUAGCUUAUGUGCUUUUGUAGGAGAGUGGGGACAUUGGCGCACUAGAUUUGCCUUUGUUGUCCUAAAUUAUUUGCUUUCUUAAGAUGUGACCAGAUAAAUACAGGGAUAUUGCUUUUGGAGAUAAGGAUGAUGCUAGGAUUAUCCCUAUGUCCGCGUCAGAGGAUGGGUUGUAGCACGGAUUGGUACUGGCUUUUGCUUUUUACUAUUUUCGUCAUUUUAGUUGGAUGGCCUUUUUUUAAACAAAAUUUUGGUGACUGUCAGAGUCUCAUCUCUUGAGGACAAGAGGGAGCUGGAUCGACACUGGAUUUGCUUUUGUUUCAUUCCUUUUCUUUCUUUCUUUCUUUAUUUUUUCCCCAAUUUCUAGGAUGAUUGAAAAGCACAUUGCCAUCCUGUCGUUGGGUCUGUUGCUAUGCUUCUUCCUUUCUUUUUUUUUUUUGCAGCAUUUUCCGUCAUGCAAUAGCGGCUUUCCAUUUCCAUGUGCAUUAUCUGUCAUGUGGUAGGUUUUAAUGAUUCUCUGGCAUAUUGUCUUCUGAGAACUAUCAUAUGUUCAUAACUACUAUAGUUCUAUUUUGUGUCAUCUUUCUGUCCUCCUGCAUAAGUUUUGCAAAUCAUUAUUGGCUUGGAGAUCAUUAUGGUUCCUGUCUGAUUUACAUCAUAUAUUCUAGAUUUUUUCAUUUCACACUUGCUAUUGGGUUACUGCAGAUCAGAUAUAAAGCUGAAUUUGAAUUUUUUUUUAGAUUUCUUUAGGAGUUAAAAGUAUGUACUGAUCGUCGAGUACUCAGGGUUAGAGGUUCAUAUAUUCGCAUUUGUGGAGUUAUGAUAAGCCGUGUGUUGGGUCUUGGAAUUCCUUUAUUUCUUGUGCCGAUUUAAGUUUUUAUUUUUUGCAGCCAAUUAUCAGGGAUCUGAACAUUGGAGGGGUAGUUGUAAUGUUUUCCCCUAGCUCUCCUUUUCCCCUAACGUAUCUGUGUGUUCUUGUCCAUCGUGGAUCAGGCUUUUUCCUGCAGUAUUUGUUGAAGUUGGAAUUGCAUUUUAGGAGGUGUUUAAUGUUGUGGUAGCACCUGCAUAUGUCUCAACUGUCUUGUUUUAUCCUUUUUAUUUUCUGUUGCUUUCUUCCUCCUUCCAUCUGCCUAAUUUUAUCCACAGUUCCACACGUGUUUUAGAUGUGGGGUUUGUCAGCCGCCAGCAUGUUAUGACACAUCAACUUGAUUGGAUUUGAGGAAAUGAGAUAAAUACUGUUCAUUCCGUUGAAGAGCAAAACUGCAGUAACCAGAUAGGUGUAUUCCCACUCAUCCUACUUUUUCUGUCUGCUUCAUCCAUUGAGAUUGAGUUGCUCUUUUCCUUCAGUUGUAUAAGAUGCGGAUUCAAAUUUUCUCGGCAUUCUCGUGGUAUAUGGGUUCUUUCUAAUUUCGAGUGCUCCUGUAAUUUGUGAGACAACCUGACCUCUGUUUCAGUUACUGCUUAGAAUUGUACUCUGAUUUCUCUCAGCAUGAACCGAUUAAGUGCUGUUUAAGUUCUGUAUUGGUGAUUGUUGGAAGCUGAAAUACCGAAGCCAGGUGAAAAGGUGCAUCACGGAGGGCACUUGCCGAAUUGCUAUUUUGUUACACCCUCUCCUAUUACAUCUUAUCGCCAUCUAUAUUAUUGAUGGGAUAGAGCUUUAGCUUUUACAGUUCUAUAUUCUGCGAUAAUGCUGGGAUUUUGGUUUUUGGUCUGUUGAAGUUUCACCUUCUUUUGAGCCUCUCAAUCUCAGGGAUGAACCAAUAUAGCGGCAAGUGACGAUCUCUGAAACUAGGGUAAACUAAUACAGUGGCAAGUGAUGAUCUCUGGUCGUUUCAGUCCAUAUGGAAUCUGUCUGUUCAUUGGUUGGCCUUGUCCUUCAUGGUUAAACACUUAACCUUAAUCACUUGUUCCAGCUUUUUGUUCAUGGUUAAACACUUAACCUUAAUCACUUGUUCCAGCUGUUGAGUUUGGCACCUUGCUUAUAUAAUGAUGGCUGUUCAGAUGCAAUUGGUAUGCUUCUUCAGAUAUUAGAAAGAUGUUUCCAACGUGGACUCAGACGUACUGCUAUGAUGGUUCAUUUGUAAUUCCAUUAACAUAUCUUUCAGUUGGACGUGUGGCAGUUUUGCAUAUAUUCGCUCAUGCCUGCCACCACGUACAGUAUCCCUAUGAGGCUUCCAAUACAUAGUGCAUGCAAUUAAAGUCUAGACAGUCACUUAAAAUGUCUGGUUUCAAUCAAAAUUAUGGUGGACUUUAUUGAGAGUUUCUUUUCUUAGAGUUGGAUUUCAAGUUCCGUAGUCACCUAUUUUUGGGGAUUAAUAUACUACUCUAUGAAGUUCUAGUAUUUGGUGGUCCUUUCGAUGAUGUUUCAUUACCUAGAUGCCAGUUUUCUUACUGUUUUCAUUCCUCAUCAACAUUUUUUUGUCCUUGUUGAAUAUUUUUCUUUUCAUUUCAACCUUUUCAUAAUUGUUUUCCAGAAAUCAGUGCAACUACAAGGGGGUGAAUUUUACAAUCAUUACUGGAACCACCAAAUUAAGUCACGAUAAGCAUGGCGUGAUCUCCUUGUUUAUGUAUUAGGAACUUUUUGGGUCAGACUGUUAUUUGGUAUUGUUUUUAAGACGAUUUAGCGUUGCUUUUUAUGUUUCUCUUUUCACCAGAAAUUUACAAUUCUGAAAGCUUGCAAGGCCGUCAUUUGAGUUUGCUGCUUCUUCCUUAACAUGUCACUUUUUAUUUUAUUCCCUUUUUGUCCUUUUAUUGUCUUCAAUUUUUUAUUUUUCUAGUUUGGUUUUUCUUUCCGAGUUAUUCAUUAUUUUGUGGUGGUUAUUUACUUGGUUUAUGGGCAAAUUACAAAACAGCGUAGUAGUGUUAAACGAUAUGAAGAUUUCAACCUGAUUGUUCUGAGUUCAUUAAUUGUAGUGGAGUACAACCUCUCUCUGUCUUUGUCAGACAGUACUUUACAUGAAAUUUUUGAGAGGGCAUCAUUUGGCACCCUUUCCACUAUUUCCCCUGCAUUUAUAUGCAUUUUCUUUUCCUUGAUUGAUUACGUGAUACCCUGCAGCAUUCCAAGUUUCAUUCAAGGAGGAAGCAAAUAUUGUCGGGCAGCCAAGGGUCUCUGUUAGUCUGUCCUCCCCCUUUUCCUGUUCCAUUUUUCUUUCCUCAUCCUCAUUCUGUGGGUACGCGGUAUAGAUGUGGUCUGUCACCAAGCACACCAUGAAGGCUGAAUUAGAGGGUAUAUCAAGUUGCUAUUGAGCAGCAGUACCCAGCUACCAAGUAUCCCUAAUAGCUUCUCCUUUUUUCUACUUGUUUGGCUGUAUCAUAACACUCUCUUCCACUCUAGCAAAUAUCCCUAUAGACAGUUUGGUUUUUCUUUAACUUCUGUGGUGCAGAUGUGUUCAGUAGAUUCUAUGUGCUGCUGAAAAGUGUGAGGUACUCUGAACUUAGUUCCAAAUACUGUUUUGAACUGUAUUCUUUUAUUCUCUCGAGUAGGGUGCUCUAGCUUGUGGCGGAUUUUUUUAGCAAUUAUGUGAAUUCCAAUCGUGGGUGAAAGGAUAAUGGGGAAUAUUGAUCACAGUGGGGGUAUUGUGUCUGCUACACUCUCCUCUGCAUUUUUUAUGUGUGCUUCAGUAGUUGUGGUUGUUCACUCUGUGCUGCAAUUUUGUUCCUGGUCUAUUCAUGUAAGGUAAUUGGAAGCCAGGGAUCAAUAUCUGUCGAAGUCCGAUUUAUGAUGGUCUCAAUAUGUUAGUGAUGUUCUUGUUCCCCAUUGGUGAAUUGCCUUGUCCAAGACACAUUGGGGAUUGAAUGCUGGUACUCUCUGGUUACUUAUUACCCUUUUCCAUAUCCUCUAUAAUGUGGGUAAUGCUACAAUUGUUGUAAGGUCUAUCCAUGUUUGGGCGAGCAUAAUUUAUGAGCUCGUAUGCUGCAUUGUUCAGUUAAGGUGGGAUCUAAGACUGGUGAGAUUUCAAUUAACUUGUGAUAUUUCAAUAAAGCUUUCCAGUUGUGACGUUGACACAUUGGUUGGUCGUGGAUGGUUGCUCAGAUGUAUUUGGCAUGGUUCCAUGGGGAUUGUUAAGGGAUAGGUUGCCGUGUAUGCAUCUUUUCUUUUUGGUGUUCCUCUUUCGAUGCAUUACCAGGUGCGACAAAGCUAAGUUACGGAAGGAAACCAAAUCCUAAUCUUGCCAUAUGAAAGAAACAGACCAAGGGAGAGGUAUUGAUUUUUUACUUGUUGCUAUCAGUGUCAGCAACCUCUACUGGUCUUGGUAUAUCUCUCUUUACAGAAACACUUCUUAUUUCCCAUGUACACUGUCAAACCUCAUAUUUACAGUAUCAUUGGCAGACUUGGGAGCAUGAUACGGCCUAUCUGCCAUGUGUUCUAAUUUCGCGACGGCCAAGUUCAACUGUUGUCUCACUCUGUUAAGGUAGCGAUGAUGGAUCUGGUCUUUUUGCACGCUCAGUAGAGAAGUUUUUGAGGACAAUUAGAGUUCAAGACUCCUUCUGUGUGUGGUAGCUGGUUUGGUAGUUUAGUCUUUUUAUUCUCUCUUGUCGCAUCAUUAGCUUUUUUAAAUUGUUGGGAAUGCAUGCUGGGAGACAUUAAUAAAUACUCUGUUCUUUUGACCAGUGAUGCAAGAUUUUCUGGCUACUUAAUUUAACUGAGGAUUGUAGGGUGUAUCACUUGUUAACACUUAUUUUGGUGAAAGUCUGGAUGUACCUGCAUCAAAUGGGAAGUCUCUUGGGUAGAGGUUUUGUUGAUGGGAGUCUCUUACCCUUUUCCUUUUUUGACCUCUUUCUGAUCUGUUUGUGCAGAAGUUGUUGACUGAUAUUCUGAAAUUCUUUUCAAUUGUGGUCUGAAACUUGUCUUUCCCUUGCAGUCUUGUUUGGGUUCGGGUUCAAGAUGUUCAGCAAGUGGCUGUAUAAUGUAUUUCAACAUGUUGGUUAGGUCUUGCAUCUUAAAAGUCUUCAUGUAUUAUUUGAAAAUAUUUUCUUUUUUUUUUUAUCAUAUCCUAAUUUUUUUGUCUCAAUAUUUUAACUCCGCCUGUGUUAUCUUCCACACAGCCGGUCCCAAGCCCGGAGAAGGAGGAGGGUUGUACGUUUGGUAUCCUGACAACCAUCACGUAAAAAUAUUGCAUGUCCUUUAUGAACUUAAUCAGGAUAUGGUUUGGUUUGAUUUGCUCUUCACAAAAGUCAAAUUGAGUAAGAAACAUGAAUAUGCUUUGGAGAUGGCCAUGAAGUUAGCAUUCUUCCCUAUGUCUAUGCGAUUCAUGUCUGGGGAUGGUUGUAGCUGGACUUGAACCUAUUGUAGUCUGGUCUUCUUACCAUCUUGUGCAUCAUUACAGCUAGUCAAUCAACUUUGAUUAGUUGUUUGAGAAUAAUUGCUGAAAUUUUUUAAUGUAUACUGUGCUUUCAGGACCAGUGAUGCCUGACGUCCAGGCUGUUUUUUUAUGGCCCAUGUGAAUUGUAUAAUAUCUCGCACGCGAAUAGUGCAUUAUGAUUUCAGGUGCAUGGAUCUCUAUGGAUAGAAAGAUAGGGUGCAUCGUUGAGGUUUUGUUGGAGGAUUCUCUUACCUCUUCCUUUUCUGACCUCUUGCCUGAUCUGGUUACGCAGAAGUUAUUUUAUCGUGUGGCUGAGUGUGUUCGUUGUGGUCUUUUUUCCUGUGGUUCAAGAUUUUCAGAAAGUAGCUGUUAAUGCAUUGGUGCUUGUCGUGGUUUUCGUUGUAUCGCUUUUUUUGUUGCACUUUGAUUUUCUAUUGUUAGUUACUUUUUGGUGGCAGUUCAAGUCGUCUUUGUUGUGGAUAGGAAGGAGCUGGAUAAACGCUGGGUGAUGUAAAGCUCAACAUGGAUGGCUGUUGGUAUGAUUUUGAUGGCAAGUCAGGGUUUGGUUUGGGGGCCUUCUUCGAGACUCUUCGGGAGAAUGGAUCCCAGGCUACUGUGGAAAGCUCUCAUGCGGAUCCAGCUUGGAGGCAGAACUUGGGCUAUAUAUUGAGACCAAUCAUUAUUGAAAAAACCAUGCAGUGCAAGUUGAAUCCAACUCUCUCAUUGCGGCCAAGCUAAUCAAUGAGGAUCCCCUACGGGACACCCUCACCGAGCCAUUGUGGAAGAUGCAAAGCUGCUUGCGACUUAUACUGGAGUCUCCCCUUCUCAUAUCUAUUGCUUUGCUAGGCAGUUUGGCGAAUCUAUGUGCAGACAACUUGGCAAGAAUGGAGUGGAGCAGGCUCAAGACUUGGUGAUCAUGACCAACGUUCCACCAGCAAUAAGCUCCUUAAUCAUUGAGGAUUUCCUUCUUGUUGGGAGAAGUCUUGGCUUAGGGGUACCGAGUAUUGGACUGAUGUCCCUCAGUUUAUGUUGCUAGUCAUGUUGUUGGACUUAUAUUGUAGUACUCUUUCUCAAGUGUAAUUUUAUGAAUUUCCCAUUAACCCAAAAAAAAAAAGGAAGAAAGAAAGAUGCUUACCGUUAUGGUACUUUUGGAGUUUUGGUCAUGAGGUAUACUCUCAACUAUCUAAUGGAAGUGCCUUAAAUUUCCCUCUA